AGUAGUUUAGCUCAUUAAUUGUAUCGUGUGAAAGUAAAAAAAACUUGAUAGUAUAGUGUAAUCUAGUACCUUUUGUAUAAGGGUUUUUUAAGAGAAGUUACUUAUGUAUUCUCCCGAAAAAAAAGAAUCUAUCGUUGUAAGUAGGAAUACCGUGGUAAAGUUAUUCAUAAUUAAACGAUAAAAGCUAGAUACUAAUUGCCUUUUUUGAUAUCUGGUUGAUCCAAAAAUAUAUUUAGUAUAGUUCAUUAUUAUAAGGUGGGCUUAAUGCGGUUGGGAUAAGCUAAACGUAGUAUGUAAUGAGUUUUUAGUUAAAAUUGUUUGACUUUAUAGGCUUAAUAUUAGUCAUUUGAGUUAGUUUGUGAUAAAUAAAUUAAUCUUUUUUAUAAAUUUAUUAAUUUUGUUCAUUUAGGGGUCUAUGGAUUUAUUUUUAGGUAAAAAUUAAUAAUGAUAAAAAUAAGUAGAAUCUAAGUUGUUUUAUGGGCUUAUUUGAAUAAGUUUAUUUUUUUUAAGAGUACAGCUUGAAUACUUCAUAAUGAACUCGGCAAACUCUUAUCUGCGCCUGUUUAACAAAAACAUCUCUUCUUGUUUUAAAUAAGAAGUAGGCCCUGCCCGGUGCUUAAUGUAAACGGCGGCCUUAGCGUGAGGGUCUUAAGGUAGCAUGACAAGUCGGCCUUUAAUUGGGGUCUGGUAUGAAUGGGUUGACGUUGGAUAAACUGUCUCAUGAAGUGUCUUUGAAAUUAAUUAUAAAGUGAAGAAGCUUUAAUAAAUAAAAAAGACGACAAGACCCUAUGAAGCUUUAUCGUAAUUUAGUAAAAACCUUAUAUGUUAUUGUUAGGGCUUACUAAAUAUGAAUUUGUUGGGAUAACAAAACGGGAAUGUGCUGUUUAAGAUAAAAUUUACUGACAAGUUAAUCCUCAAUUUGGUAAGAUAUGGCAAGCUACUCUAGGGAUAACAGCGCGAUCUUUUUUUAGAGUUCUAAUCGAAAAAAAGGUUUGCGACCUCGAUGUUGGCUUUAGGUUACCUGAAGGCGUAGAGGCUUUCAAGAGUGGGUCUGUUCGACCUUUAAUUCCUAACAUGAGCUGAGUUCAGACCGGCGUGAGCUAGGUCAGUUUCUAUCUUUUUUAUAAAAUAGGGGGGUUUGGUACGAAAGGACUUCUCAACCGUGGUUUCCAUUUAUCUAGAAGUUAUUUA
rnacentral:rRNA from 1 species